AUGGUGUUUCAGGCCCAUUUGCCAAAAACAUCCUUAUCUAAUGCUAAUCUUCAACAUUAAUUUCCUGCGUUAGUUGUCUCUGCCAAAAUGUGUACUACACAAGAAGGAAUGAAUAGCUCUUCUGUGUUGACGGUGGUUCUCAGAAAAUAAAACUCCUUGUGCUGAUGCCUAUUUCCAAGUACUUUUAACGGCAGGGUAAUAGAGCUUUAUAGACUGAAGUAUCAACAAAUUYGUCUAUGAGCAUGAUGGAAAAGCUGUGCGCCUUGCAACCACCAAAUCACCUGGUACUUGGUCAUCUUGUAGGAACCAAUUUUUAAGGCACCCGCUUGCUCUGCUCCAAGCACAAAUUGCCAGAAGACAGGAGUGUUUGGCUGCCUCAGCUCUGAGGAUGGCCAUGCCUAUAAAGACAACGUGCCUGGA